UAGGGAAUCUUCGGCAAUGGACGAAAGUCUGACCGAGCAACGCCGCGUGAGUGAAGAAGGUUUUCGAAUCGUAAAACUCUGUUGGUAGAGAAGAACGUUGGUGAGAGUGGAGAGCUCAUCAAGUGACGGUAACUACCCAGAAAGGGACGGCUAACUACGUGCCAG
rnacentral:rRNA from 1 species